rnacentral:rRNA from 1 species
CAGAGACUGCAAGCGUUAUUCGGAUUCACUGGGCGUAAAGGGUGCGCAGGCGGUUGGGUGUGUCAGAUGUGAAAUCCCGAGGCUCAACCUCGGAACUGCGUCUGAAACUACUCAACUAGAGUACUGGAGAGGGUAACGGAAUUCACGGUGUAGCAGUGAAAUGCGUAGAUAUCGUGAGGAACACCAGAGGCGAAGGCGGUUACCUGGACAGUUACUGACGCUCAGGCACGAAAGCAUGGGGAGCAAAAGGGAUUAGAUACCCCUGUAGUCCAUGCCCUAAACGGUGCACACAAGGUCUUAGCGGAUUCGACCCCACUAGGGCCCAAGCUAACGCGUUAAGUGUGCCGCCUGAGGACUACGGUCGCAAGACUA